GACGAACGCUGGCGGCGUGCUUAACACAUGCAAGUCGAACGGAAAGGCCCUGCUUUUGUGGGGUGCUCGAGUGGCGAACGGGUGAGUAACACGUGAGUAACCUGCCCUUGACUUUGGGAUAACUUCAGGAAACUGGGGCUAAUACCGGAUAGGAGCCCCUGCUGCAUGGUGGGGGUUGGAAAGUUUCGGCGGUUGGGGAUGGACUCGCGGCUUAUCAGCUUGUUGGUGGGGUAGUGGCUUACCAAGGCUUUGACGGGUAGCCGGCCUGAGAGGGUGACCGGCCACAUUGGGACUGAGCUACGGCCCAGACUCCUACGGGAGGCAGCAGUGGGGAAUAUUGCACAAUGGGCGGAAGCCUGAUGCAGCAACGCCGCGUGCGGGAUGACGGCCUUCGGGUUGUAAACCGCUAUCGCCUGUGACGAAGCGUGAGUGACGGUAAUGGGUAAAGAAGCACCGGCUAACUACGUG
rnacentral:rRNA from 1 species